rnacentral:rRNA from 1 species
CAAUAGCGUAUAUUAAAGUUGUUGCAGUUAAAAAGCUCGUAGUUGGACCUUGGACCUGGACAGGCGGUCCGCCUCACGGCGAGUACUGUCUUGCUGGUCUUUCCUCUUGGUGAUCUGUUGUUUCGGCAGCAGGGAACCAGGACCUUUACUUUGAAAAAAUUAGAGUGUUCAAAGCAGGCUCGACGCCGGAAUAUAUUAGCAUGGAAUAAUAAAAUAGGACGUGCGGUUCUAUUUUGUUGGUUUUUGGAAUCGCCGUAAUGAUUAAUAGGGACAGUCGGGGGCAUUAGUACUCACAUGCUAGAGGUGAAAUUCUUGGAUUUUGUGAAGACUAACUUCUGCGAANGNAUUUGCNAAGGAUGUUUNCAUUA